GAUGAACGCUGGCGGCGUGCCUAAUACAUGCAAGUAGAACGCUGAAGGAGGAGCUUGCUCUUCUGGAUGAGUUGCGAACGGGUGAGUAACGCGUAGGUAACCUGCCUGGUAGCGGGGGAUAACUAUUGGAAACGAUAGCUAAUACCGCAUGACAACAGUUAUUGCAUGAUAACUGUUUAAAAGGGGCAACUGCUCCACUACCAGAUGGACCUGCGUUGUAUUAGCUAGUUGGUGAGGUAACGGCUCACCAAGGCGACGAUACAUAGCCGACCUGAGAGGGUGAUCGGCCACGCUGGGACUGAGACACGGCCCAGACUCCUGCGGGAGGCAGCAGUAGGGAAUCUUCGGCAAUGGACGGAAGUCUGACCGAGCAACGCCGCGUGAGUGAAGAAGGUUUUCGGAUCGUAAAGCUCUGUUGUAAGAGAAGAACGAGUGUGAGAGUGGAAAGUUCACACUGUGACGGUAGCUUACCAGAAAGGGACGGCUAACUACGUG
rnacentral:rRNA from 1 species